rnacentral:rRNA from 1 species
CGCCUCUCGUGUUUAUUUUAGAUGGGAGGUUUUACCUGCUCUGAUGAGUAAGAUUAAAUAGCCAGAAUCAUUGUUAAAGUAGCAUAAUCUCUUAUCUCUUAAUUAGAGGUUUGUUGAAUGGUUUGACGAGAAUUUAGCUGUCUUAAUUUAAUAAAAUGAAAUUAACCUCCAAAUUAAAAGGUUUGGAUAUAAUAAAUAGACGAGACGACCCUAUCGAGUUUUUAAUUAUAAUAAUUAAGUAAUAUAUUAUAAGUUUUGGUUGGGGCAACCUAAAGAAAAAAAAAUCUCUUUAAGAAAUUUAAUUCUGAUAGGAAUAAGAUCCAAAUAUAUUUUGAUUAGAAGAAUAAAACUACCGUAGGGGUAACAGCGUGAAAUUAUUUGAGAGUUCUUAUUGAAAAUAGAAUUUGCGACCUCGAUGUUGGACCAGGGUAACCUGUAUGGUUGUAGAAGCUUAAAAGGUAAGUCUGUUCGACUUUUAAAACCCUACG